rnacentral:rRNA from 1 species
UGUCUAAGUAUAAGCAAUUAUACAGCGAAACUGCGAAUGGCUCAUUAUAUAAGUUAUCGUUUAUUUGAUAGUACCUUACUACUUGGAUAACCGUGGUAAUUCUAGAGCUAAUACAUGCUAAAAAUCCCGACUUCGGAAGGGAUGUAUUUAUUAGAUUAAAAACCAAUGCCCUCUGGGCUCCUUGGUGAUUCAUGAUAACUCUUCGAAUCGCACGGCCUUGCGCCGGCGAUGGUUCAUUCAAAUUUCUUCCCUAUCAACUUUCGAUGUUUGGGUCUUGGCCAAACAUGGUCGCAACGGGUAACGGAGGGUUAGGGCUCGACCCCGGAGAAGGAGCCUGAGAAACGGCUACUACAUCCAAGGAAGGCAGCAGGCGCGCAAAUUACCCAAUCCCGAUUCGGGGAGGUAGUGACAAUAAAUACUGAUACAGGGCUCUUUUGGGUCUUGUAAUUGGAAUGAGUACAAUUUAAAUCCCUUAACGAGGAACAAUUGGAGGGCAAGUCUGGUGCCAGCAGCCGCGGUAAUUCCAGCUCCAAUAGCGUAUAUUAAAGUUGUUGUGGUUAAAAAGCUCGUAGUUGAACCUUGGGCCUGGCUGGCCGGUCCGCCUCACCGCGUGUACUGGUCCGGCCGGGCCUUUCCCUCUGUGGAACCCCAUGCCCUUCACUGGGUGUGGCGGGGAAACAGGACUUUUACUUUGAAAAAAUUAGAGUGCUCCAGGCAGGCCUAUGCUCGAAUACAUUAGCAUGGAAUAAUGAAAUAGGACGCGUGGUUCUAUUUUGUUGGUUUCUAGGACCGCCGUAAUGAUUAAUAGGGACAGUCGGGGGCAUCAGUAUUCAAUUGUCAGAGGUGAAAUUCUUGGAUUUAUUGAAGACUAACUACUGCGAAAGCAUUUGCCAAGGAUGUUUUCAUUAAUCAGGAACGAAAGUUAGGGGAUCGAAGACGAUCAGAUACCGUCGUAGUCUUAACCAUAAACUAUGCCGACUAGGGAUCGGACGAUGUUAUUUUUUGACGCGUUCGGCACCUUACGAGAAAUCAAAGUGCUUGGG